AGUGAACGCUGGCGGUAGGCCUAACACAUGCAAGUCGAACGGCAGCACAGUAAGAGCUUGCUCUUACGGGUGGCGAGUGGCGGACGGGUGAGGAAUACAUCGGAAUCUACUUUUUCGUGGGGGAUAACGUAGGGAAACUUACGCUAAUACCGCAUACGACCUACGGGUGAAAGCAGUGGAUCUUCGGACCUUGCGCGAUUGAAUUAGCCGAUGUCGGAUUAGCUAGUUGGCGGGGUAAAGGCCCACCAAGGCGACGAUCCGUAGCUGGUCUGAGAGGAUGAUCAGCCACACUGGAACUGAGACACGGUCCAGACUCCUACGGGAGGCAGCAGUGGGGAAUAUUGGACAAUGGGCGCAAGCAUGAUCCAGCCAUACCGCGUGGGUGAAGAAGGCCUUCGGGUUGUAAAGCCCUUUUGUUGGGAAAGAAAAGCAGCAGGUUAAUACCCCGCUGUUCUGACGGUACCCAAAGAAUAAGCACCGGCUAACUUCGUG
rnacentral:rRNA from 1 species